UACGUAGGGGGCGAGCGUUGUCCGAAGUUACUGGGCGUAAAGCGCGCGUAGGCGGCUUUUUAAGUCUGGGGUGAAAGGUUCUGCGCUUAACGUGAACAGUGCCCUGGAGACUGGAAGGCUUGAGUGUGGGAGGGGGCAGUGGAAUUCCUGGUGUAGCGGUGAAAUGCGUAGAUAUCAGGAGGAACACCGAUGGCGAAGGCAGCUGCCUGGCCUAACACUG
rnacentral:rRNA from 1 species